rnacentral:rRNA from 1 species
GGAAACGAUGUGGGAAGGCAUAGACAGCUAGGAGGUUGGCUUAGAAGCAGCCACCCUUUAAAGAAAGCGUAAUAGCUCACUAGUCGAGUCGGCCUGCGCGGAAGAUGUAACGGGGCUAAAACUAUGUGCCGAAGCUGCGGAUGUAUACUUUGUAUACGUGGUAGGGGAGCGUUCUGUAAGCCGAUGAAGGUGUGUUGAGAAGCAUGCUGGAGGUAUCAGAAGUGCGAAUGCUGACGUGAGUAACGACAAAACGGGUGAAAAACCCGUUCGCCGAAAGACCAAGGGUUCCAGUCCAACGUUAAUCGGGGCUGGGUGAGUCGACCCCUAAGGCGAGGCCGAAAGGCGUAGUCGAUGGGAAAAUGGUUAAUAUUCCAUUACUUCUGUGUAAUGCGAUGAGAGGACGGAGAAGGCUAAAUCAGCCUGGCGUUGGUUGUCCAGGUGAAAGGAUGUAGGCAUGUAUCUUAGGCAAAUCCGGGGUACUCUAUGCUGAGAUCUGAUAGCAAGCUGUACUUGUACAGCGAAGUGGUUGAUGCCAUGCUUCCAGGAAAAGUCUCUAAGCUUCAGUUACACAGGAAUCGUACCCGAAACCGACACAGGUGGUCAGGUCGAGUAGACCAAGGCGCUUGAGAGAACUCUGCUGAAGGAACUAGGCAAAAUGGUACCGUAACUUCGGGAGAAGGUACGCUGUUGUUGGUGAUGGAACUCGCUUCCUGAGCUGACGACAGCCGCAGAAACCAGGCCGCUGCAACUGUUUAUUAAAAACAUAGCACUCUGCAAACACGAAAGUGGACGUAUAGGGUGUGAUGCCUGCCCGGUGCUGGAAGGUUAAUUGAUGGGGUUAGCGUAAGCGAAGCUCUUGAUCGAAGCCCCAGUAAACGGCGGCCGUAACUAUAACGGUCCUAAGGUAGCGAAAUUCCUUGUCGGGUAAGUUCCGACCUGCACGAAUGGCAUAAUGAUGGCGGCGCUGUCUCCAGCAGAGGCUCAGUGAAAUCGAAAUCGCUGUGAAGAUGCAGUGUACCCGCGGCUAGACGGAAAGACCCCGUGAACCUUUACUGCAGCUUGACACUGAACUUUGACCUUACUUGUGUAGGAUAGGUGGGAGGCUUUGAAGCUGGAACGCUAGUUCCAGUGGAGCCGUCCUUGAAAUACCACCCUGGUAAUGUUGAGGUUCUAACUCUGUCCCGUGAUCCGGGACGAGGACCGUGUCUGGUGGGUAGUUUGACUGGGGCGGUCUCCUCCUAAAGAGUAACGGAGGAGUACGAAGGUGCGCUCAGCGUGGUCGGAAAUCACGCGUAGAGUAUAAAGGCAAAAGCGCGCUUAACUGCGAGACCCACAAGUCGAGCAGGUACGAAAGUAGGUCUUAGUGAUCCGGUGGUUCUGUAUGGAAGGGCCAUCGCUCAACGGAUAAAAGGUACUCUGGGGAUAACAGGCUGAUACCGCCCAAGAGUUCAUAUCGACGGCGGUGUUUGGCACCUCGAUGUCGGCUCAUCUCAUCCUGGGGCUGAAGCAGGUCCCAAGGGUAUGGCUGUUCGCCAUUUAAAGAGGUACGCGAGCUGGGUUUAGAACGUCGUGAGACAGUUCGGUCCCUAUCUACCGUGGGCGCUGGAAAUUUGAGAGGAUCUGCUCCUAGUACGAGAGGACCAGAGUGGACGAACCUCUGGUGUACCGGUUGUGACGCCAGUCGCAUCGCCGGGUAGCUAUGUUCGGAAGGGAUAACCGCUGAAAGCAUCUAAGCGGGAAGCCUACCUCAAGAUAAGAUUUCCCUAGGACUUUAUGUCCUCUAAAGAGCCGUUCGAGACUAGGACGUUGAUAGGUUGGAUGUGGAAGCAUAGUGAUAUGUGAAGCUGACCAAUACUAAUUGCUCGUGAGGCUUGACUAU